rnacentral:rRNA from 1 species
AGCGAACGCUGGCGGCAGGCCUAACACAUGCAAGUCGAACGAAGUCUUCGGACUUAGUGGCGGACGGGUGAGUAACACGUGGGAACGUGCCCUUUGGUUCGGAACAACUCAGGGAAACUCGAGCUAAUACCGGAUGUGCCCUUCGGGGGAAAGAUUUAUCGCCAUUGGAGCGGCCCGCGUUAGAUUAGCUAGUUGGUGAGGUAAAGGCUCACCAAGGCUACGAUCUAUAGCUGGUCUGAGAGGAUGAUCAGCCACACUGGGACUGAGACACGGCCCAGACUCCUACGGGAGGCAGCAGUGGGGAAUCUUGCGCAAUGGGCGAAAGCCUGACGCAGCCAUGCCGCGUGAAUGAUGAAGGUCUUAGGAUUGUAAAAUUCUUUUACCAGGGACGAUAAUGACGGUACCUGGAGAAAAAGCCCCGGCUAACUUCGUGCCAGCCGCCGCCGUAACAC